CUUCAUAUAUUCCAUUUGUGUUGCAUGUGUUUAUAUAUAAAUGAACAACGUGGGUCAGAAAAUGGAUAAAGAAAAUUAAGGAGAUAUAUUACUUUAUUUAAUUUUUUGUUGUUUUAUUAAUAAAUAAAAAAAUAGUAUAUUUCUUCAACAAUAUUUAA
rnacentral:snoRNA from 1 species